AUGGCGCAACUGAGCUGAAGUGGGAAUUUGACGAGGCCCUUGGUCAUUACUAUGUAUCGUUUCCAGAUGAUCAGUAGAGGUGCCCAGUUGGGGCGAUCGGGGAUCUAGCAUUUGGGGUUGUCUUCUUUUCAUUUGAACUUGACUGUAGCCGGUCUAUGAGUGUAUUUGAAUGAUGUAUGAUCUUAAUUAUGUAUUGUGUGAAGUGACGAUUGUAAGCCAACUCUCUUUAUCCCAUUCUUGUUCAUUACAUGGGAUUGUGUGAAGAUGACCCUUCUUGCGACAAAACCACCAUGCGGUUAUGCCUCUAAGUCAUGCUCCGACACGUGGGAGAUAUAGCCGCAUCGUGGGUGUUACAGAUGCGCUGAGCAAUAGCUAGCUCAGAAGCAAUAGCGCCAUUGAAGGAGACGCUGAGGCCAAUGGGAAGUUGCAAAUCAUCAAAGCUGAGAUUUGGUGUGUCAAACCACUCAUCAAUGAAGUUAUGGAUGAUUGCCACGUCAAAUAGAGGCAAAUUAUUGAAGAUCUCUGCUUCUUCCUUGCUCUUGAUCAGUUGCUCAAGAGCAUCAUCUGCAAGAUCGUCAUCGCUGGACAGAUCAAUGUGCUCUUCAUGCAGAAUGGUAGCAGGAGUCAAUGUCUGAUCAGUAUUCUUGACGAUUUUCUUUUUCUUCUCCGUCUUCUUGGAGAUGCGUGAAAGAUCUUCAGACUGCACACUGUCUUCAGGAGGUGCACUGGCUAGUGGCUUCACACGUGAAGCUUCUGGAGGUGCAGCUGAUUAUGAAGCCUUAGUUUUCUUUGGCUUCUGCGGCCUUGGAGGAGGAGCUGGGGCUUCAUCAGUAUUAGCAUCAUUAUCAGAAUGAUCUACUCUGGCACCCUGGACCAAGAUGUAUGUGAUGAGGCCAUCGGGGUUUGAAAAGGGGCCGAUGACAUUGGGUUCUGCAUCACGUGAGCCGUCAGCACGGGGAGCAGAGGGACCAGGGUUAAAGUCUAAUCCCAAUGACUUCUUGUUUUCCUUGGCCGAUGCCUUUGAGUGCUGGAAGUUGCGCUUGAAAAUAUUAUCGUCACGACACCAGAGCAGUGAUGAUGGGUCGGCAUUUUCAGGCUGAGGUCCACGGACCAUACAAGGAUAGAAAUCCUGUGCAACAGCUUUAGCUCUGUUCUUGGGUGGAAGGCCUCGAUAGAGAAUAUCACCCCAAGGACUUUUGAUAGCAUUCUUCUCAGUAUAUUCCUGGGUCACGAACUUGUACUUGAACCAUUGUUCAGCCCAAUAUCGUCGAAUCCAUUGGAUUCGGGUCUUGCGCUGAUUAUAAUCCUCUUCAGGAUCCGUUUUGUAAAUUUCUGCGAGGUCAUUAGGCAGAUCUUUUGAUGUUCCCCCUCGAUGUUGUCUGCCACCCUUCCUUACUGAUUUCUCUACAGCCAUGAACUUUAAACUAAAUGGCUUCAAUACGUUCAAAGGCUUCAAGGGCUUUCGCUUGCUGGUCAAACAGGAACUAGCUUCAGGAGAGUUAAUGUGUUGCUGUAGGAAUUCUGCAAACGAAUGCAGACUAUGAGAACCAAGGGAUUGUCCCACGGACAUGUACCUGUGACAGCAUUAGAGAUGCGAGGGAAGGGGAAGAGGUCAUAUGCAUUCUCAGAAGAUUCGAAGAUAAAUCAGUUUGAAGACAUUGACCUCAUGAUGCGAAGACAUUCACUUAUAUGUUGAGAGUUGGUUCUAGAUUUGUACGAAUCCGUGAAUAAGUACAAGUGAGGAAUCUAACUAGAUAUGAAGCUUAAGUGAAUAUACUAGGCAGUAUGAGAUGGAGACAGAAUAGAUCUAACAUUGCAUAGGCAGAAACCAAUUUUGGUAAAUAGGAUGAAUCAUUGAGGAUCAAAAAGAUGGUAAAAAUAGAGUUAUAUUUACCACACGAAGAACUGGUAGAUGGGAUGAAUAGGAGACGAGCAGUUCAAUCCACCGUUCCCUAACUUGGCAACGGAGGACACCUACAGCGGCAGCGGAGAGGACGAUGUCCGCGGCCGGCGUGAGGACGGCGUCGGAGAAGUCGCGGCAGCUAAGCGCUUCGUCGCCGGCAUCGUCGCGAGCUAGCGGUGGCGCUAGGGUUUUGACGAGGUGGAGAGGUGGAAGAAGGUUUUCUUGACCGCAGGGGACACGUAUUUAUAAGAAGGUGUGUGGCAUAGCGCAAUUACGCAGGUGCCCCUGCCUGUUCACAUCUAAGGGACACGUGGCAAGCAUGCAACAUACUCAGAGUUGUCCCACGUUCCCACGCCCGCCAAGUUUGUCGGAUGGUUGUUCCGGCUUCUCCGGAUUUCAACAAUAAUGAUGAAUCAUUUAAAAAGACUUGAUGUUUGUCUCUGUGUCUUCUGCUGACAAGGAUGCAGAGAAGACAUUCGACAGUUUCAAUAGAAUGCAUAUGAUUUGGACAGAUAGAUUUUGAGAUAGUAAGCAUAGAGAGAUUAGGGUCCGAUCACAUUCACUUAGUUCAAAAGAUUCAACAAGGAAGACAUAGCUAUAAGUGAAUGCUGUAGAGGACAGAAUACUAGUAUAUAUAUAUAUAUAUAUAUAUAUAUAUAUAUAUAUAUAUAUAUAUAUAUAUAUGAGAAAGCAAUCAAAUCGACAUAGUGAAGUAAAUCAUGAAGAUAAGUUGAAAGUUGAAGACAAACCAAAUGCAAAGAUAUUGCAACAAUAAUGCCAAGAGUGAAACACUUCAAACCAAGAAAUUUGGUGGUGGCAUUACCCACCGUAUAGGAAGUAUUAGACCCAGACACGGCGCACAAUUAUCGUGGCGCUCCGAAGUCAAAUUCCACGUUAAUGUAUUCACACUCAGAAUGUAAGUCUUCAUUGAUUGAAGAUAUACUUUACUUUGUGUGUUGCACAUCUAAGUCAUCAACAUGCCUAAGUGUUAGGAUGUGUGCCUGAUCACAGGACAUUUGAGGAUUCCAAGAUAUUUAGCUCACACCGUAACUUGCAAAACCUUUUCUCAUCCAAGGGCUUUGUGAAGAUAUCUGUCAGUUGCUCUUCAGUGUUGACAUGAAUGAUGUCAAUAUCUUUAUUCAUGACAUGAUCUCUGAGAAAGUGAUGACGAAUUUCAAUGUGCUUUGUCUUCGAGUGCCGGACUGGAUUAUUGGCAAUCUUGAUAGCGCUUUCGUUGUCGCAGAAGAGAGGUACUUGUUUCAGAUUGAUGCCAUAGUCCUUGAGAGUUUGCUUCAUCCACAGAAGCUGAGCGCAGCAAGAUCCAGCAGCAAUGUAUUCAGAUUCAGCAGUUGAGCGUGAUACACAGUUUUGCUUCUUUGAAGACCAACAGACAAGUGAUCAUCCCAGAAAGUGACAUGUGCCUGAUGUAGACUUGCGAUCAACCUUGUCUCCAGCAUAAUCAGCAUCCGAGAAUCCAACCAGAUCAUAUCUUGAGCCCUUUGGAUACCAUAAUCUGAGUGUUGGGGUGUAAGCCAAAUAUCUAAGAAUUUGCUUCAUAGCUAAGUGAUGUGAUUCCUUCGGUGCCGCUUGGAAUCGAGCACACAUGCAAACACUAAGCAUAAUAUCUGGCCUAGAUGCACAUAGGUAAAGUAAGGAACCAAUCAUGGAGCGGUAUACCUUUUGAUCAAACUCUUUACCAUUGUCGUUGGGACCAAGAUGGUGUUUGGCUGGCAUUGGCGUCGUGUAACCUUUGCAAUCUUGCAUUCCAAACUUCUUCAGACAGUCUUUGAGAUAUUUUUCUCGAGAUAUGAAGAUGGCAUUCCUUUGCUGACGAAUUUGAAGACCAAGGAAGAACUUCAGCUCACCCAUCAUGGACAUCUGAUAUUGCUCUUACAUCAUGUAUCCAAACUCAUCACUAUACUUCUGGUUGGUGCAGCCGAAGAUAAUGUCAUCCACAUAUAUUUGGCACACAAACAGUUCACCAUCAUAUGUCUUCGUGAAGUGUGUGGGAUCGAGGGAUCCAGGUUUGAAGCCUUUGCUCUUCAGGAAGUCUUUGAUCGUAUUAUACCAGGCGCGAGGAGCUUGUUUGAGGCCAUACAGUGCUUUGUUUAACUUGUACACCAUAUCAGGAUGUUUUGGAUCUUCAAAGCCAGGUGGUUGAGCAAUGUACACUUCUUCUUCAGUUUUGCCGUUGAGGAAUGCACUCUUCACAUCCAUUUGAUAUAGUAAGAUGUUAUGGUCGUUUGCAUAGGCUAGCAGUAUGUGAAUAGCUUCAAGCCUAGCCACAGGAGCAAAUGUUUCAUCGAAGUCAAUUCCUUCAACUUGAGUGUAUCCUUGAGCCACAAGACGUGCUUUGUUUCUGACGACUUGACCAUGCUCAUCUUCCUUGUUUCGAUAUAUCCAUUUUGUGCCAAUAAUGUUAUGCUUGCGAGGGUCAGGGCGCUUGACAAGUUCCCAAACAUUAUUCAGCUUGAACUGUUGAAGUUCUUCUUGCAUGGCUUGAAUCCAUUCAGGUUCCAUAAAGGCUUCAGCAACUUUCUUGGGUUCUGAUAUUGACACAAAUGAGAAAUGCCCACAGAAAUUUGCUAACUGUGUUGCUCUUGAGCGAGUAAGUGAACCAGGCGCAUUGAUGCUAUCAAUUAUCUUCUCAAUUUGUACUUCAUUGGCAACACGAGGAUGAACUGGACGAAGACCUUGCUCUUGCUGAUCAUUGUCAUCAUUGGGACGAUUCUCUUAGGUCUGAGCAUUGUCUUCAGGUUGGUUUGGUGCAGAAAUGAUAAGUUCCUCUUCAGGUUGUGCUUCAGAGGGCAUGAUUUCACCUGUUCCCAUCAGCUUGAUUGAUUCGCUGGACGGAGCUUCAUCAAGUGUACUUGGCAGGAGCUCUCUUUGUGAACCAUUGGUUUUAUCAAAUCGCACGUCCAUAGUUUCAACGAUUUUGUAGUGAUAGAGGUUGAAGACUCUAUAAGAGUGCGAGUCCUUUCCAUAACCGAGCAUGAAGCCUUCAUGAGCUUUAGGUGCAAAUUUUGACUUGUGAUGGGGAUCCUUGAUCCAGCACCUAGCACCAAAGACUCUGAAGUAGCUGACAUUUGGCUUCUUGCCAGUAAGGAGCUCAUAGGAUGUUUUGCUCAGAAGCUUGUGGAUGUAAACACGGUUGAUGAUGUGACAUGCUAUAUCAAUAGCUUCAGGCCAGAACUUUCUUGGUGUCUUGUACUCGUCGAGCAUUGUUCGACCAUCUCAAUGAGGGUUCUGUUCUUGCGCUCUACAAUGCCAUUUUGUUGAGGUGUGUAUGGAGCAGAAAACUCAUGAGUGAUUCCCAUUGUAUCCAUAUAAAGAUCAAGCCUGGUGUUAUUGAAUUCAGUGCCGUUAUCACUUCUGAUAUGCUUGAUCUUGACGCCAUAAUUGUUCAUGGCUCGAUUAGCGAAGCGUCUGAAGACAUCUUGUACUUCAGUCUUGUAGAGAAUUAUGUGCACCCAUGUAUAUCUUGAGUAGUCAUCAACAAUGACGAAGCCAUAGAGAUAAGCUGUUGUUGUGAUGGUAGAGUAGUGAGUAGGGCCAAAUAAGUCCAUGUGUAACAGCUCGAAGGGUUGAGAUGUCGUCAUGAUUGUCUUCGAGGGGUGCUUUUCCCUAGUCAUCUUUCCAGCUUCGCAGGCACCACACAAAUGAUCUUUCUUGAACUUGACACCCUUGAUGCCUAUGACAUGCUUCUUCUUGACGAGUGUGUGUAAGUUCCUCAUGCCAGCAUGCCCCAGCCUCCGAUGCCAGAGCUAGCAUUCUAAAGCUUUUGCAAGAAGACAUAUGGCAAGCUGUGGACCUGCUGAGAAAUCUACCAUGUAUAGAUCAUCCUUCCGAUACCCUUCAAAGACUAGAGACUUGUCGGAUUCCAUUAGUACAAGGCAACGAUAUUUUCUGAAUAGCACAAUCAUGUUCAAGUCACAAAGCAUUGAGACAUACAUUAAGUUGAACCCAAGGGAUUCAACAAGCAUCACUUUAUCCAUGUGUUGAUCCUUUGAGAUUGCAACUCUACCUAGACCCAAUACCUUGCUUUUACUAGUGUCAGCAAAUGUGAUGUGACUCUUGUCGCAUGGACGUAAGGUUGAGUCCAUGAGAAGACUUCGAUCACCAGUCAUAUGAUUAGUGCAUCCGCUGUCCAUAAUCCAUUCUGAAGCAUGAGGUGUCAUACCCUAUAGUGCAGUUAGGAGGAUAGGCUUCACAAGGUAUGUUGUGAAGCAUAAGCAUUUGACGCACACAAGGAUUAUCACAGCUUAGAUCAAGGUUAGAACACACAGUAUGACAGGUAAGCGAUUCAUAUGUGAAAUACAUAGUAAGUCAUUUUAUCAUGCGUCCCUUAAUGUGUUUUAGGUCCCCAGCAAUAGUAUCGGACGCCUUUGAUUGCUGGCUGGAGACCACAUUCUGCAAAAGAGAGUUAAUUCUUCUUCACCACCCACAUCUUCAGGGGUGGCUUAGAAGCAAUGAGUCUAAGUGCAGCAUCUAAGAAUUUCGGCUUUGAAGCCCUAGCAAAUAGCCUUGCAGGAGAUGAAUGAUACUCAUAUGAAUAAGCAGAAAAGUUCUUAGUCCUAUGAACAUAGUGGUUUGAAGACACACGCUCAUAUUCAUAAGUUUGAGUAUGAUUUCCCUGCAAAACAUUGGCGUUAGGGUGACUCAGGUGAGUCCUGUAUCUGUAUGAAGCCAUUGGACCAUAUGACGCCUUAGAUCUGGGGUUUGUCUCCCUGGUGGUGUCAUGAUCACGUUCACAGGAAGAUUCUCAAGACAGUUUUUGGGAACCCAGAUCUUCUUCAUAGGUGGUCCAUUCCUGCAGUUAGUACCAAUAUACCUGGCAAACACUUCACCAUUCUGAUUUUUCAACAGUUUAUAGUUUGCAUCAAAGGAUUCAUCAAUGAUAAUAGGAUUAGCACAGGUAAAGCCAGAUAAAGUGGAUGGAUCCAUUGAAGGUUCCUUUGCAGCAACCCAUGUGGUUUUGGGGUACUGCUCAGGCUUCCAGUAGGAACCAUCAGCAUUCAUUUUCCUCUCGAACCCAACACCCUCUUUCCUAGGGUUUCGGUUUAGAAUCUGCUUUUUGAGGACAUCGCAAAGUGUCUGAUGUCCUUUCAGACUUUUAUACAUCCCUGUUUCAAGCAAUGUCUUCAACCUAGCAUUUUCAUCAGCAAUAGUAGUGGUAUCCUCAAUAGAGGGGUUAGCUACCACAUUAGUAGUUGAAGACAAAGCAACAGUAACAGCAGUGGAACAUUCAGCAACAGAGGUAGCGUUAUCACGUUCAAUGCAUUUAAGACAUGGUGGUUCAAAUCCAUCCUGUGUAAGGCUGGUUUGUUGAGCUAGUAAUGAAUCGCGCUCCUUCUGAAGAUCUCCAUAGUCUACUCUUAUCUUUUCAAGAUCUUGCUUUCUUUGAAGACAUUCAAAAGAAAGCUUCUCGUGAUCAGACAAGAGAGCAUUAUGUUGAUCUUGAAGGGCGUCAAACUUGGAAUGAAGUCUCUGAAGACUCUCAGCCAAUGCUUUUGACUGAUCCAUUUCUUCACCCAACAUAUCAUCGCUCUUACUAAGCAUGUUUUGAACCUUUUCCAAGGCUCUUUGUUGUUUAGUUGCAAGGGAAGCAAGUUUGACAUAGCUGGGGCCAAAUUCAUCACCUGAUUCAUCAUCACUAGUUUCAGAGAGGUAGCAUUCAGUUACCUUAGCACCCCCUGCCAUGAGGCAUGGUGAAGAUGAAGACGAUUCAGAUGGAAAGGUCGUCUCUUUAAGAGACUCCUUGUAGUCAUCAAGCCAAGGAUCAUGACGAUUAAGAUGACCUUCAUAAACCUCAGAAAGCCGGUCCCAGAUUAGCUUUGCAUGAUUGAGAUGCAUGACGUUCCUGAACUGAUUUUGGGACAGACAGGAGCAGAUGACAUCCUUCGCUGUGAGGUUCAGUAGAGUGUACUUGCGAAUGUCAUCGACCUCUGCCAUCUUGCAUAGAUCGGUAAGACCAAUCUCAGUGAGGGUCCAUAGUUCUCUAUCCGUAGCCAUGAGUCACUUCUUCAUCAUGGCUUUCCACCAAGGAUACUCAUGACCGUCAAAGGUGGGGCAAGAUACAUUCCUCAAUCCUGCAGUCGACAUAGCUAAACUCCAGGUGGUUAAACCGAAUCACACAGAACAAGGAGUACCUUGCUCUAAUACCAAUUGAAAGUGCUAGUUAUCGACUAGAGGGGGGUGAAUAGGCGAUUUUUAUCAAAGUCUUCAAAACGUGGAAGUUUCGAAGACGACCAAUAGAAAUUACCUCCUCUCUCUUGGAUUUGGCAUAAUUAUUGUUACUACUAGAGGAAGAAUAUUGGAUUCAAUUAGUAGUACUAGAGGAAGAAUUAUUGUUACUACUAGAGAACUACUAGAGGGGGGUGAAUAUUGGAUUUGGCAUAAUUAUUGUUACUACUAGAGGAAGAAUCUUUCUUGUUCUUGUUACUUGACUUGACUUGAGGCAUGUAAGUGGAUAAGAGUAAACGCUUGGCAAUGUAAGAAGAACUUUUCUUACGGAGGUCAUCAUUGAUUGCUUUUAAGAACUCAUGCUCUUGCUCAAGAUUGAGCUUUUCAAAGCGUAACUUCUCAUGAGCCCUUAAAAGUUCUCGAUGAUCUUCCAAGAUAGUUUCAUGAGAUAACUUAAGAGUGUUUAGUUCUUUAGUUAGAAGCUCAAUCUUCUCCUUAUCAUUGUCAUUCGUUUUAUCUUGAUUAGCAUGAUUAAUUGACGUUUCAUCAUAGUAUUCAUCACUAGAGUUGUCAAUAAGUAAAUCAUCAUCACCUAGCAAGUCAUCUUCAUCACUAUUGAAAUCAACAUACUCGGGAUGUGGUACCUUUGGACCUUUGGCCAUGAAGCAUCUUUCAAUUCCUUCAUUUGGUGAGUCAAAUAUGUCAUAGGAGUUGGUUGACACAAGUGCUAGACCGGCAACACCUUCAUCUUGAGUAUCUUCGGAGUCGGAGUGAUAGCUUCUCUCGGAGUGAUGGUCGGAGUCGGAGCCGGAUACCCAUUCACCAACAUGAGCUUGAUGUCUUCGUUUUGUGUAGCUCCUUGAUGACUUGUCCUUCCUUUCCGAAUCCUUGCUUCUCCGUGAGGGUCUUCAUUCAUAACGAUCAUCUCUACUCCUCCUCUCUCUUGGUGGUAAUUCUUCUCUUUUGCUUCUUCUUUUUGGAGAAUAUUCUCUUCUUUUGUAGGGUGCCGUACACUCAUUGGAGUAGUGUUCGGGUCCCCCACAAUUGUAGCAAUUGCGCUCUCGACUAGAAGAUCUUUUGUCAUUGUAUGACCUUGACUUGGAGCUUCUUUCUUUGCUUCUACUCUUGUAGAAUUUGUUGAAGUUCUUCACCAUUAAGCUCAAUUCUUCAUUGAAGGUUUGUUUCUCACAUGAUGAUGUGGGGGCUUCACAUGAGGCUUUGUAGGCACCACUUGACUUGUUGUGAAGUUCCUCCUUAUCCUUGAGUGACAUCUCAUGAGCAACAAUUCUUCCAAUGACUUUCGUUGGCUUGAGAUCUUUGUAGUUUGGCAUCAUUUGGAUCAAUGUGCACACGGUAUCAUACUUUCCAUCUAAUGCUCUUAGGAUCUUCUUGAUGAUGAAUCUGUCGGUCAUCUCUUCACUCCCUAAGCUGGCAAUCUCAUUUGUGAUAAGAGCAAGCCUAGAGUACAUUUCAGCGACACCUUCACCAUCCUUCAUCUUGAACUUGUCAAGCUGACUUUGGAGCACAUCCAGCUUGGAUUCCUUGAUGGAGUCAGUACCUUCAUGCAUAUCAAUCAAAGUAUCCCAAAUUUCCUUUGCAUUCUCAAGACGGCUGAUUUUGUUGAAUUCUUCGGGGCACAAUCCAUUGAAGAUGAUAUCACAAGCUUGAGCGUUGUAUUGCAGCAUCUUCAAUUCUUCCGCAUUAGCUUCAUGGUUCGGCUCUCUCCCAUCAAAGAAUUCACCUUGUAAGCCAAUACAAAUAAUAGCCCAAACGGCGGGUUAUGUCUGAGAAUAUGCAUUUUCAUCUUAUGUUUCCAACUAGCAAAAUUAGUGCCAUCAAAGUAAGGACCUCUAUGGUGAUAAUUUCCCUCGCUAGACGCCAUACUCUCCUAGGUUCUGAAACCAAGGCUAUGACCACCAAAGCUAUGUGAAUCAAAGAAAAUGGAGACCAAGGCUCUGAUACCACCUGUAGGACCAUGAAGUAUGUCUAGAGGGGGGGGGGUGAUUAGACUACUUGACCAAUUAAAAACUUAACCUUUUCCCAAUUUUAGAGUUUGGCAGAUUUUAGCAAUCUUUGGACAAGUCAAGCAAUCAUCAGACAAAUCAAGCAAGCAUGCAAAGAGUAUAUAGGCAGCGGAAAUUAAAGCAUGCAACAUGCAAGAAAGUAAAGGGAAGGGUUUGGAGGAUUCAAACGCAAUUGGAGACACAGAUGUUUUUGUCGUGGUUCCGAUAGGUGGUGCUAUCAUACAUCCACGUUGAUGGAGACUUCAACCCACGAAGGGUAACGGUUGCGCGAGUCCACGGAGGGCUCCACCCACGAAGGGUCCACGAAGAAGCAACCUUGUCUAUCACACCAUGGCCGUCGCCCACGAUGGACUUGCCUCACUAACGGUAGAUCUUCACGAAAUAGGCGAACUCCUUGCCCUUACAAACUCCUUGGCUCAACUCCACAAUCUUGUCGGAGGCUUCCAAGUGACACCUAGCCAAUCUAGGAGACACCACUCUCCAAGAAGUAACAAAUGGUGCGUUGACGAUGAACUCCUUGGUCUUGUGCUUCAAAUGAUAGUCUCCCCAACACUCAACUCUCUCUCAUAGGAUUUGGAUCUGGUGGAAAGAAGAUUUGAGUGGAAAGCAACUUGGGAAGGCUAGAGAUCAAGAUUCAUAUGGUAAGAAUGGAAUAUCUUGGCCUCAACACAUGAGUAGGUGGUUCUCUCUCAGAAAUGGUAAGUUGGAAGUGUAGGUUUGUUCUGAUGGCUCUCUCCACGAAAGAAGAGGAGGUGGAGGGGUAUAUAUAGCCUCCACACAAAAUCUAACUGUUACACACAAUUUACCAAACUCGGUGGGACCGAAUCAACAAACUCGGUCAAACCGACUUAGUAAACCUAGUGACCGUUAGGGUUUUCGAUGGGACCGACAUGCAACUCGGUAGGACCGAUAUGGUUAGGGUUAGGGCAUAACUAAUCUCGGUGAGACCGAUUACACAAACUCGGUGAGACCAAUUUUGGUAAUUAGCUAACCAGAGAGUUGGUCAGGUAAACUCGGUGGGACCGAUUUGCUCUUUUCGGUGAGACCAAAAUGUUACAAAAGGGAAACAGAGAGUUUACAUUGCAAUCUCGGUGGGACCGAUCGCUCACUUUGGUUAGACCGAAGUGUUAUGAAGGGAAACAGAGAGACUACAAUCCCAUCUCGGUGAGACCGAGAUCCCUAUUGGUGAGACCGAUUUGCCUAGGGUUUGUGGCAGUGGCUAUCACAUAUGAACUCGGUGGCGCCCGAUAGAAAGAAUCGGUGUGACCAAUUUUGGCUUUAGGAUUAGGUCAUAUGAGGAUGUGAGAAAGUAGUUGAGGGUAUUUGGAGCAUAUCACUAAGCACUUGAAGCAAGAGGCUCAUUAAGCAACACCUCAUCCCUCCUUGAUAGUAUUGGCUUUUCAUAUAGACUCAAUGUGAUCUUGGAUCACUAAAAUGUAAAAUGAAGAGUCUUGAGCUUUUGAGCUUGAGCCAAUCCUUUGUCCUUGAUAUUUUGAGGGGUCCACUUUCAUCAUCCAUGCCAUGCCAUUCGUUGAGCUUUCCUGAAAUAAUAGUCUUGGAAUAGCAUUAGCUCAAUGAGCUAUAUGUUGUUAUGAAUUACCAAAACCACCUAGGAAUAGUUGCACUUUCAAUGGCAACCUUUAUUAUGCAAUUUGUCGCUUUUAUUCUUUGUCAUCCUAGUUCGUACAACGCUCAAUUUUAUCUUACACUAAAUGAUCGUACACUUUUAGAAGCAAAUUUCAUUGCCUUAUUGCACCCAUGACAACUUACUUUAAGGAAGGAUCUUGCUCAAGGGAAUUAACCCUCACCGAGUGUCAUCCCUCCGCUCCUCCUCCUCCUAGCCGCUCCUCCCACCAACCGCUCGCCAUCGGUGGCCACUCCGGCCCCGACGUCCACCCUCUUGGCCCGCGGAGGCACUCCACCGCCCUCCCUCAUGGCCUGCCCUCCCCCCACAGGUCUCGGGUGCUCGCGCCAACUCCACUAGCUCUGGUCCAGUCCCCCCUCGGCCUCUCCCUCACCUUCCCGUUCUUGCUGGGUUGCUUCACCGCCUUCGUAUCGUCAGGCCCUCUGUGUCGGCGAGCUCACGUCUUCCGAGCUCACCCCAGAGGACGCUAAUGCCCUGACGCCUUCCCCCUCCAGUCCCCAGACCCUGGCGCGCUCUGAGAUCCACCAGGGGUCCACCGCGGCGCCGGCAGGCCACGCCUCCGAGGGCGUGGACGCUGGCUGGAUUGUGGCCUCGGGGCGCUGCAGGCCGCGCCCCCGUCGCCAGCAUCGCUCCUAAUGCCCCCUGGGCUAGGCCGCGGCCGCGCGUCCCCGACCGCCGCCCCUACUUCCGGUGAAUGCCCCUGCUACUUCAGCAUGUAGCACGUCCGCGCGGAAUGCCGACGGGAUAUCCGGUGCAAGUGUUGCUGUUUCUACAGGCGUGUCGCGCGCGACUGCGAGGCCCCUCGCUCCUCCUCCCCACGCUCCGUGCUAGCCCCCAAGCGCGUCUGCGCGUCGUCUGUGCGGCCCGCUUCCACGGCCUCCAGCGUGCGGGGUCCCAGCCUGCCCGCAUCACCCAGGUCAUCUGCCUCGCCUCCGCCCUCUGGCUCCCCUCCCUCGGCCUCCGGCGUUGCCGCUGUCUCUCCGCCGCCAUCCUUCUCCACCGGUUCCGCGACUACCAUGUCGGGGCACCCCUCCCUGCGCCCCCCGAGCGUGCUCUGAUUACUGGACCACUCGCCCGAGAUUGUCGCCGCUGAGGAGGCCCUGGAGCGCGCCCUGGUGGUGAUCAUGGCGGGCAACCGCGCUGGCGUCUGCCACGGCGAUGUUGCCGCCGCGCUCUGCGACCGGUUCAGCCUCCCAGAGGACGCCUUCUCAAUCCACCUUCGCCCCGAUUGCGAGUUUCUGGUGCGUUUCCAGGACACGGUGGUGCGGGCUCGUGUCGUGGAGCGGCCAGUCCACACCCGGUGCUUCCAGCUGCUGUUCCAUCCCUGGAGCCGUUCCGCUGAUGUCGAGCCGCUCACCCUUCGUCAACGCGUCGACAUCGAGAUCCGUGGUAUCCCGGAGCAUGGCUGGCGUCGGGCGUCGGUGGAGCGGUUGCUCUCCUCGCGCCGGAAACCCGCGACGGCAGCGACAUGGCGGUCUUCCGCCUCUCGGCCUGGACUCUGAACCCGGAUGCUAUCCCUCGUACCUCGGAGUUGUUCCUCCCCGAGCCUGAUGCCGUCUGGCCGGAUGCCGACCCAGACCGUGCCGAGAGAUUCGCGCUCCAUCUGCUCCGCUGGCCGGUCGACAUCCAUGUUCGUUGUUCGGUUGACUUCCGCCUUCCCCCCCCCCGCCGCCGCCGCCUCCCCCGACGGGCCCUGGCUUUAACGAGGAACCAACGAGCUCCCCUCCAUGCCCUCCCGCUUGGCAUGCCCGCCAUAGCUUCCCCCCUCGCGCCUCAGGCAGACAUGGCUCCACCGGUGCUGGUGCGGCCACCGGCGUUCAUCGCUGUUGACAUCCCACCCCCCCUACCGUGGUUGGCAGGGCAUCCCGGGGCCCUACCCCACCGUUUCCCCCUACCACUCGGUGGGCCCCGUUUCCGACCACUUACGUCCUGCCAGGACUCUGGAAAAGCGUGGGAAUCAUGUUGUGGGUCCGGAUAAAGUGGUCGCUGAUCAUGUGUUGUCCCCCCGGGAUCCGAUCCACGUUUAAACUCCCGCCAGCUGGCGAUCUGCGGGAGCCCAACCCCGCCCUUGUCGCCCGUUGGCCCCUCCCGUCUUGCGUAUUCCGAGGCGGGCCCGCCCAGGAUGUCUACUUCGCGAAGUUUGGAUGCUGGUGGCGUGUCUCCCACCAACCCGCCCUCACCUUCCCGCCCUCACGUGGACCCAGGUGAUGAUUCUGGAGCAUGUAGCCCCGGCUCCCCUCCCUAGGAAGAUCGCUUGUCCCCACCCUCGGGAGUGGUUGUUGACCUGGUCACGCUGGGCCACCUGUCCCCUCCAUGCCCCACGCCUGCGGCCUCACCGUUGAUUGGCCCAAUCGUUUCGUCGCCUCCUGCAGUGCAGGAUCCCAGGACGGUGGUCUGCUCCCCCACCCCGGAUCCUCGGCCCACUCCCUCCCCUGCCGCUGGUGCGGGCCCCGCUGUUCAUGCCACAGGCCCCGAGGCCAUGCAACUGCCAUCUCUAUGUUCCCUGCUCAACAGCGUGAUGCAGGAACCUGAGUUCGUCCUCCCGCAGCCCAGGCAUGCCCCGCGGCAUCGCCGGAACAUGGUUCCGCCCAACUUCACGCCUCGGAAGAGUAGCCGGAUCGCCAAGGCCGAUUGCAGCCUCGAUUCGGAGAUGAAGGCCAAGAAAGUCCUGCUCCGCCGUCUUGGACUUCUGGAAGAAGAGGGGCAGGUCGAUGAUUCCAUUCUGGCCAAGUAUGCCCAGCUCUUCGCGCGGCCUCUGGCAGAGGACGUGGUGCAGGCUUUUGGGGAUUAUUACGGAUGGCAGAUCCCCCGCGGAGUCACGCAGCUCCUGGACCAUGCACCGGUGUCGCCGGUCCUGAUCUCAUCUUAGGGGCCCCUCGCCCCCUAGCUCUCUCCACGCCCCCUCUCUAUGGAUUGUAACCUAAAGAUUGUCUUCUGGAACAUGCGCGGUUUGAACUCACGAGCUAGGCGCAUGGAGGUUCGCUCUUUGAUCUCUUCCGUGUCCCCUUCGAUCGUCUAUUUGAGUGAGACCAAGCUCGCGGUAGUUGACUCGUCCAUCGUCACGGAUACCCUCAGGCCACUCUUUGAUCGUUUCUUAUUCCUUCCCACGUCCGGGACACGCGGCGGAAUUCUCAUGGCCUAGCAAAGCUGUGACAUCACUCUCUCUCGGCCGGAUGUUGGUGCCUACCACGUCUCGGCCCUUGCCACGCCUCUCGUCGAUGGUCAGCAACACUGGUGGAUUACUGCUGUCUACGGACCGCGGGAGGAUGACACUAAGGUGGCAUUUCUCGUAGAACUGCAAGAUUUUUGUGUCACCUACGCGUGCCCCUAGAUUCUAAGAGGUGACUUCAACAUGAUCCUCUCCUCGGCCGACAAGAAUAAUGGGCGCCUUCACCAUCGGGCUAUGAGCCGCUUCCACCGCUUUGUCGCCGAUCUCAAGCUGCAUGAUAUCUACAUGCACGGUCGCAGGUUCACUUGGUCCAAUGAGCAGCAAGACCCUACCCUCGUCCGUAAUGAUCAUGUGCUCUGCACACCGAGCUGGGAGGAUUGCCAGCUGAAUUGCCUCCUAUGUUGCCCCGCUUCAGCCACCUCUGACCAUGCACCGCUGCUUCUUGGCUGCUCAUCGCGCUCGAGCAACCCCAAGAGAUUCCACUUCGAGCGUUUCUGGAUCAAGCUUCGGGGCUUCCAUGACGUGGUUGCUGCCGCUUGGGGCCAUGAGCCACCGGACCCCGACGCCUUCCGCCGCCUUUUCCAGCGUCUCAAGUUCACUACUCGCCGGCUCUAGAGCUGGAGCGGUCGCUGCAUUGGGCACGUCUCCCUCCAGUUGAUGGUCGCCCGCGAGCUCAUUGCUCGCCUAGACGAGGCGCAGGAUCAGCGCCGGCUCUCCCAUCUCGAAGCUUGGCUUCGUAAAAACCUAAAGUUGAAGUAUUUGGGGCUCGCAUCUCUCGAGCGCUCCAUCGCCCAGCAGCGCGUGCACCUAGCUUGGCUCCGCAACGGUGACAUUAGCUCCACCUUCCUCAAGUUGCACACCUCCCAUUGACAUCAAAAGAACUGCAUUCUCCAAUUGUGCAUUGGCAACGCUUUGGUCACGGACAAGGAGGGGAUGGCUGAAGCAUCCUUCAACCAUUUCGCUAGCAUCCUUGGCUCUGCGGACGUGCGGCAAUCCACCUUGGUCCUUGAGGCUAUCGAUGAUCACUCUUUUAAUCUUUCUGAGCUUGAACUCCCUUUCUCCGAGGCUGAAAUUUGGGAGGCGAUCAAGAAGCUGCCCUUUGGGAAGGCGCCCGGCCCGGAUGGCUUCACUUCAGAGUUUCUAGUCGCCUGCUGGGACAUUGUGAAGCAGGACAUCUGUGAUGCCUUCGACAAGCUCUACCAUCUCAAUAGCAUGGGGUUCCAGAAGCUCAAUGAGGCGCUCGUCACCCUCAUCCCAAAGAAACCGGACGCUUCCACGCUCGCGGACUACAGACCGAUCAGCCUCAUUCACCUUCUAGCCAAACUAUUCGCCAAGGUUCUGUCCUUGCAGCUUGCCCCACGCCUUGGAGCUAUGGUGUCAUCCAACUAAAGUGUGUUCAUUGCGGGACGAAGCAUCCAUGAUAACUUCAUCCUCGUCCAGCAAACUGCUCGUCAAUUGCACAGCAUGCGAGCCUCAUGGGUGCUUCUCAAGCUCGACAUCGCGCGCGCCUUUCACUUAGUUUCGUGGCCCUUCUUGCUCCAGCUCGUGCGGCAUCUUGGCUUCGGCCCCUGGUGGCACGAGUGGAUCUCCAUCGUCCUGUCCAUGGCUAAAACCCGCGUGCUCGUCAAUGGCAACGCCGGCCCCCCUACCUACCAUGAGAAAGGCCUUCGGCAGGGCGAUCCCGUCUCCCCCAUGUUAUUCACUCUGGUGAUUGACGCGCUCAACUCUCUGCUCCAGCAUGCUAUCAGGACUGGUGUGCUGCGCCGCCUCACUGACCGCCGGUUGGUCUCGAGCAUCUCUCUCUACGCCGACGACGUGGUCAUCUUCUGCCACCCGGGCCCUCACGAGCUUGAGGCUAUCUGUGAGCUGCUUCGGGCUUUCGGGUCCGUGUCUGGGCUGCACACCAACUUCAGCAAGUGCUCCGCCAUGCCAAUCCAAUGCACGGAUGUGCAGUCCAUGGUUAUUGAGCAGGCCUUUUCUUGCCCGAUCACGCACUUCCCCAUCACAUAUCUUGGCAUCCCCCUCUCGGUUCGGAAGAUCUUGGCAGCCAAGAUCAUGCCACUCGUCGAGCGCAUGGCCCGCAAAUUGCCAACCUGGAGGGCCUCCCUCCUUUCUCGAGGGGAGUGGCUCGCUUUCAUCCGGCACGUGCUCGGGGCCAUGCCCACUCACAUCUUCAUGGCCAUGGCCCUGCGCCCAACCAUCCUCAAGAAACUCAACCGGAUCAGGCGCGACUUCCUCUAGCAUGGCAAGCGCGACGCCGUGGCAGGUGGCUGGCUGGUCAGCCGGCGCAAGGUCAGCCGGCCGCUCGGGUUUGAGUGACUCGGCAUCCAUGAUCUGCAGUGCACGGGCGUGGCCCCCCGUGUUUGCUAGUUGUGGCUCAAAGCUACGGACGACUCCCAUCCUUGGCGACACAUCCACCUCCCGGCUGACGCCGAGGCCCAAGCCAUCUUCAACGCCUCGAUGAGUUGGAUCAUUGGGAAUGGCACCUCUUGCCUAUUCUGGACAGAUUGCUAGGUUGCGGGUCAGUUGAUCAGUGAGAUCGCCCCGGCUGUGCUUGCUCUGGUAUCGAAGCACCGGAGACGGGCGCGCUCCGUGUCCCAGGGCUUUCCCAACAGAGCUUGGAUCCAGGACAUCCAGCGUGCGAUGGGGCCUGCGGUGCUGGUACAGUACGUCGAGCUUUGGCGCGUCCUCCGGCACAUCACUCUUUCUUAGGACCCUGACACACUGUGCUGGCAUUGGACUAAUUCCGGUGUCUACUCCGUGAAUUCUUACUACAAGGUCAUGUUCUCUGGCUCCACCAUCGCGCCGCACUGGAGGCUCACCUGGCGCACUCGGGCACCUCUCUGAAUCUGAAUCUUCGCUUGGCUCGCCGGACUAGAUCGAUGUUGGUCUGCUGCUCGCCUUGCGCGCCAUGGCUUGCCUCAUGAUGCCAGUUGCAUCCUCUAUCACCAGGUGCUUGAAACCCUGGAUCACCUCAUUCUACACUGCCCGUUCUCCCGGGAGGUUUGGCAUGAGAUCUUCGCCUGGUUUCACGCUCCCGUCCCCCUUCCCCGCGAUGCUGACAGUUUCCUGGACUGGUGGGCGUUCAUCACAUCCCAGGCAUCCGCUGGUAUGCGCAAGGGCCUAGCCUCCCUCACGCUCCUCACCGCCUGGUCUAUUUGGCGCCACCGCAAUGCUUGCAUCUUCGACAACAUGCGGCCCUUUGUCAUGAACCUAUUGCAGAUGAUCAAGGAUGAAGCUAGAUCCUAGGCUCUCGCUAGGGCCAGAGACAUCACAAACUUUCUACCCCCGUGAUGUAACUUAGCUAUGGGCGGAGCACCCCUUUUGUUCUGCUCUCGUAGCUCCUCUCUGCGCCUGAUGAGCGUAUGCUGAGUUAUUGCUACCCUUGUACCCUUGUACCCAACUCUAUUUUAUUUAAAAAAAAUCAGGUCUAAGUAUUUUAUUAAAACAGCAAGUAAAACAAAACAAAAUGACAUUCCAAGAAUAGCACACGUCAUGUGAAGAACAAAAAUACUUAGGCUCAAUCGAUACUAACCGAUAAUUGUUGAAGAAGAAAGGUGGGAUGCCUACCGGGGCAUCCCCAAGCUUAGAUGCUUGAGACUUCUUGGAAUAUUAACUUGGGAUGCCUUGGGCAUCCCCAAGCUUGAGCUUUUGUGUCUCCUUAAUUCCUCUCAUAUCACGGUUUUCCCUAAAUCUCAAAUACUCCAUCCACACAAAACUCUAAUCAUUCUCUAAUGUAGCAAAUUACUAAAAUUAUUAUUCAACAUUGCAUACUAAAUGCCUCUGCAUAUUUAAUAGUCCUAUCCUCAAAUAGAAUCAUUAAACAAGCAAACAUAUGCAAACAAUGCAAACAUAAUAGCAAUCUGCCAAAACAGUACAGUCUGUAAAGAAUGCAAGAUUCAUCAUACUUCCUUAACUCCAAAAAUUAUCAAAAAAUAUGACCACAUGAUCGAUUUGUAUAUUAAUCUUCUGCAAAAAGAAUCAACUCAAAAGCACUCUUCUGUUAAAAAAUGAGAGUGAUUUUCAUGAGCGCAAGAGUUUCUAUUUUUCAGCAAGAUCAAAUCAACUAUCACCCAACAUGAUCCCAAAGGCUUUACUUGGCACUUUAUUGAAACAAAGACAAUAAAACAUGAUUACUACAGUAGAAUAAUCAUGUGAACAUACAAAAAUAGUAGGUAAAAGUGUUGGGUUGUCUCCCAACAAGCGCUUUUCUUUAAUGCCUUUUAGCUAGACAUGAUGAGUUCAAUGAUGCUCGCAUAAAAGAUAAAGAUUGAAACAUAACAAGAGCACCAUGAAUCAUAAGUUCCUCUCUCAUAAUAAUUUUCAGUAGCAUCAUGAAUAGAUUCAUACAUAUAACCAUCACAUAAAAGCAUUCUUUUCAUGAUCCAAAAGCAUAGAUAAUUUAUUACUCUUUAUGGCAUACAUGUCAUCAUAAUAAUCAUCAUAAGUAGCAACUUUGUUCUCAUCAUAGUCAAUUGAAACCUCUCCCAAAAUAGUGGAUGUAUCACUAAAUAAAGUCAUGACCUCUCCAAAUCCACUUUCAUCAAUAUUGUAAUAAGAUUCAAGACCCUCCAAAAUAGUGGGACCACUACUACCUAGAGUUGACACUCUUCCAAACCCACUUUCAUCAUUGUAAUCAUCAUAAAUAGGAGGCAUGCUAUCAUCAAAAUAAAUUUUCUUAUCGAAAGUAGAAGGAAUCAAAGGAUCAUACUCAUUAUGCAAAGCAUACCCAAGCUUAGGACAAGCAUUAUUUUCAGCAAAUAAAUCUUCAAACAUUUCAUACUCAUCAAACAUAGCAUCCCCAAGCUUGUGGUUUUGCAUAUCAUCAUAAUUAUUCUUAUCAAUAGCAUGAAUGGCACCAAUAGUAUAGCAAAUAUUAUUAUCAUAUUUCUUCCAAGCAAGUGCCAAAAAGAUUUUUAAUAUCAUAAGAGACAUCAUUGUCUUCCCAAUGAUAAUCAUCACAUCAAGUAGUAGGCAUCACAAAAUAAUACUCAAUAUCAUCAUCCUCCAUCAACAUAUUUGAUUCACUUUCAUGAGGCACAAUGGUGAUAGGAGAAAUAUUACUUGGGAGAGUUACCUUGUUACCUCUACUUUUUCUUCUUCACCACCUCACAUGUGGGUUUAAUCAUUUUUUCUGAGCAUCUUGUUGAAGAGAUUGAUUGGAUAGAAGCUCCUCCUCGUUACCUGAUUCAUCAUAAACACUAGGAGGGUAUUGGGAAAUAUUUUCCCUUUAAUUAGUACUCUCUUCAUGCUCUAUUUGUUUUCUUGUCUUUAGAUAGUUGCCAAUAUAAGGAUUCUUAAUGCAAUUUACCGCACAAAACAUAUAAAUUUCCUCUAGAUCAAAAUCAAGAAUUCUAUUUAGAUUAAAUUUUGGAACAUCCUUAGUUAUACGUUUCAUUUCUUCAUACCCCAAAAGGAUACUAAGAUCUUUAUGAUGCUCAAGGCUAAUCAAGUUAUCACAAUUUUUGGACACAAUUUUAUCAUGAAACAAAUAGCAUUGGAGCCUUAAAUGACCAUGUUCAUUGCAAAGUUCACAAGGAUGGCGAAAGAUAUUGAAUCUUUCAGCACAAUCAUCUAGCCUCUCUUGCAACUUUUUCGUUUCUAAAUAUUUAUGCUUCUUACAAAAUCUAUCUUCCCUUUUUGGUGUGUGUGUGCACUCCCAACUUACUCAGCAAAAAUUGACAUUCUUAUAGGAGACAUCAGUAUCAUGGCUAGUGCAUUCAUCAUUAGCAUUUUGGAUAUUCAAAUAAAUCAUACUAGCAACAUUGCAAUCAUGCUCAUCAUUCAUGCCAAUCAUUUUAUUAAAUUCUUCUUCUAUCAAUUGAGCACAAUUUUUGAACCAUCAUUUUCAAGAAAGAUAUUAUAAAGAUGAUCAAUAAUAUGAUGCAACCUUAAUUCCAUUUUUGUAGUUUUCUUUUAUAAACCAAACUAGUGAUAAAACAAGAAACUAAAAGAUUAAAUUGCAAGAUCUAAAUAUAUACCUUCAAGCACUCACCUCCCCGACAACGGCGCUAGAAAAGAGCUUGAUGUCUACUAUGCAACUUUAUUCUUGUAGACACGUGUUGGGCCUCCAAGCGCAGAGUUUUCUAGGACAGUAGCAAUUUUCCCUCAAGUGGAUGACCUAAGGUUUAUCAAUCCAUGAGAGGUGUAGGAUGAAGAUGGUCUCUCUCAAACGACCCUGCAACCAAAUACAAGAAAUCUCUUGUGUCACCAACACACCCAAUACAAUGGCAAAUUGUAUAAGUGCACUAGUUCGGCGAAGAGAUGGUGAAAAGUGUAAUAUGGAUGGUAGAAAUAUAUUUUUAUAAUCUGAAUAAAUAAAAACAGCAAGGUAGCAAAUAGUAAAUGGGCACAAAAACGUUGUUGCAAUGCUUAAAAAUGAGGCCUAGGGUCCGUACUUUCGCUAGUGCAACCUCUCAACAAUGCUAACAUAGUUGGAUCAUAUGAUUAUCCCUCAAAGUGCAAUAAAGAAUCACUCCCGAAUUCCUAUUAGUGGAGAACAAAAGAUAGGAAUUGUUUGUAGGUCACGAAACCACCUCAAAGCUAUUCUUUCCGUUCGAUCUAUUCAAGAGUUCGUACUAAAAUAACACAAAGAUAUUUUUUUCUGUUCGAUCUAUCCUAGAGUUCGUACUAGAAUAACACCAAAGCAAAUUCAUAUUCAUAAUACUCAAUCCACACAAAGAACUAUAAAGAGACCCCAAAGUUUCCGUUGGAGAAAAAUGUGCAUCAACCCCUAUGCAUAGAUUACCCCAAUAUCACCGCGAGAAUCCGUGAGUUGAAUGCCAUAACACAUAUCAAGUGAAUCAAUAAGAUACCUCAUUCUCACCUCAAGUAUUCAUAUUGCAAGACAUAUAUCAUGUGUUCUCGUCUCUUAAUAUUUAAUCCGACAAGAAAAAACUUUGAAGGGUAAAGAUUCAAUUCAUCAUAACAAGAGUAUAGAGGGGAGAAACAUCAUAUGAUCCGACUAUAUUAACAAAGCCCAUGAUAUAUAUCACGAGAGAGAGAGAGAUCAAACACAUAGCUACUGGUACAAACCCUCAGCCCUGAGGGUGGACUACUCCCUCCUCAUUGUAGUGGCCGCCGGGAUGAUGAAGAUGGCCACCGGAGAUGAUUCCCCCCUCCGGUAGGGUGCCAGAACGGGGUCUAGAUUAGUUUUCACGGAUACAUAGACCUUGCGGUGGCGGAACUUCUGAUCUAGGUUAACCCCGAAGGGUUUCAGAAUAUUUGGGAAUUUAUAGUGCAAAGAAGGGGUACGGGAGGCCAACAAGGUGGGCACCACCCACCUCGGCGCGCCAGGGGGGCCCUGGGCGCCCUGGUGGGUUGUGCCCCCCUCGGGGCACCCCCUAGGUGCAGCUCAAGCCCAUUGGGUUCCUUUUGGUCCAAAAAAAAUCUCCGUAAAGUUUCGUUGUGUUUGGACUCCGUUUGAUAUUGAUUUCCUACGAUGUAAAAAACAAGCAAAAAACAGCAACUGACACUGGGCACUGGGUCAAUAGGUUAGUCCCAAAAAAUGAUAUAAAGUUGCUAUACUAUGAUUUUAAAACACCCAAGAAUGAUAAAAUAACAGCAUGAAUACUUCAUAAAUUAUAGAUACGUUGGAGAUGUAUCACUACAUCAACUCUAUUGCCCUUCCGAUGAAGCGUGAGUAGUUUACCUCAGACCUACGGGUCCAUAGCUAGUAGCCAGAUGGCUUCUUCUCUCUCUCUCUCUCUCUCUCUCUCUGAUUCUCAAUACCAAGUUCUCCUUGAUGUUCUUGGAGAUCCAUCAGAUGUAAUCUUCUUUUGCGGUGUGUUUGUCGAGAUCCGAUGAAUUAUUGAUUUAUGAUCAGCUUAUCUAUGAAUAUUAUUUGAAUCUUCUCUGAAUUCUUACAUGCAUGAUUUGGUAUCUUUGUAUUUCUCUUUGAAUUAUCGGUUUGGUUUGGCCAACUAGAUUGGUUUUUCUUGCAAUGGGAGAGGUGCUUAGCUUUGGGUUCAAUCUUGCAUGAUUUCACCCAGUGACAAAGCAGGGGUAAUGAGACACGUAUUGAAUUAUUGCCAUCGAGGAUAAAAAGAUGGGGUUUUAAUCAUAUUGCUUGAGUUUAUUCCUCUACAUCAUGUCAUCUUACUUAAGGUGUUACUCCGUUCUUUAUGAACUUAAUACUAUGGAUGCAUGUUGGAUAGCGGUCGAUGUGUGGAGUGAUAGUAGUAGAUACAGGCAGGAGUCUAUCUACUUGACACGGACGUGAUGCCUAUAUUGCAUAAUCAUUGACUUGGAUAUCGUCAUAAAUUUGCGCUUUUCUACUAAUUGCUCGACAGUAAUUUGUUCACCCACCAUAUUAUUUGCCUUCAUGAGAGAAGCCUCUAGUGAAACCUAUGGCCCUGGGUCUAUUUUCCAUCAUAUUAGUUUCUGAUCUACUAUUUUGUAAUCUUUUAUUUUCAGAUUUAUAAACCAGAAAACUCAAAAUAUAUUUUAUCUUUUGUAUAGUUUUAUCUAUCUCUAUCAGAUCUCACCUUUGCAAGUGACCCUGAAGGGAUUGACAACCCCUUUAUCACGUUGGGUGCAAGUGUUUGAUUGUUUGUGUAGGUACAUCUAUUGGGGACUUGCACGUUUCUCCUACUGGAUUGAUACUGUCGGGGAAACUGAUCCACGAACACCUAUGGGGCCGGCGGACCGGGCCCCUUUCGGUUCGGCAGGGGGCGGAGGUCGCACGAAGAGCAGAUCGAGGCGAAGCACACGAGCAGUUUACCCAGCUUCGGAGCUCUCCGGAGAGAUAACACUCCUACUGCUGCUUGUUUGAUUAUCUGGUGUUCUUGCUCCAGAGAGAGAGCGUAGUGUUUCUCUGGGUUACGAAGGGGUCGAACCUCGCGAACCCCCUCUACGUUGCGCAUGGGCCUCCUUUUAUACGCUAAAGGGGUCACCGACAGGUGGCAACGCAGAGAAGGGUACAAAUGUAAAAAGUGAGGUGGUUGGUACAGUUACUUGUACAGUGCACCCUACCUAACUCUGACGGCAGGGGACAAGGGCAUUAAAUACCCAUCUGAGUCGCCCAAACAGUGCAGAAAAGGACCGUUAGGGGCGCCACUGUUCGCCACGAUGGCGAUCUUGUCAGCUUCGCAUGCCACUGCGCACCGCUGGCUGCACAGCCUCCCGCCACGCGCGCCUGGAGAGGCCCGUAGAGCGACACGUUGGUGGAUGCGCUGGAGCGUGGGCACCGAGUGGCCGCCUGCCGCGGCAAGCGCCUUGCCGCUGCUGUUAUCUUGUCGGGUCCGGAAGCUUGUCGCUCACCGGGCCUCGAGGUACCUUGGUUGGUCUUCCCGGCAAACUCCUCUUGCCGGGGCCUUGUUGCCUUGCCGGAGCGUGUGGCGCGUCGCGGCAAGUUCCUUGGAGUGCCUUGGUUGGCCUUCCCGACAAGCUCCUCUUGCCGGGGCCUUGCCUCCUGAGCUUAAAUACUUUGUUCUUGAAUGGCUCCAAGGGAACCAUGGAGGAUCUUGGCGUUCUCCCGGCAAGCCUUGCCGUGGGGUGCUGCAACUGCCCGUGCACAAGUUCAGGGUACUAGGGUACCCCUAUUCUAGUACACCGACAGAUACCUUGGUUCUUAACUGAGGGAAAUACUUAUCUCUAUUGUGUUGCAUCACCCUGUCCACUUCAAGGGAAAACCAACGCAAGCUCAAGAAGUAGCAUGUAGCCGUACAAGAGAUCUGCAACAGGGAAGAAGACAUAGCAUCAACCUAGGCAUGAACCAACAAGGAGGAGGCAGCAAGACUGUAACUCAUAUCCACCGCCAGCAUUGGUGACUAACACGCCUCCAGCCCAUCGGUCGCUGAAUCCCCCAUCGCCUGAGCCCCUUCGCGUCAUCCGCUGAAUCCCUCAUCACCUGGGUAUGUGCUCACAUUGCCAAGCACGACCUUCUGUUGUUUCCCAGUAGACCCAUUUGAAUGGCAUAUCGAUGAUUUUGUGACCAACCACUCGCCCUCGCGAUUCUUGAUGUUGGAUAUUUGCGGCCACUGGACUCGAACUCUGGAGCCAAUACAGUAUUGACCGAACAAGACGGACAGAACAUGAGGCUUGCCGCGAGAAGAUCCUGAAGCAAAGAAAAGCAAGGAAGUUUGGAUUUCAUAGAGGAUUCUGAUUUCUAAACUGGAUAAAGAAGGAGCGUUGGGAUUUACCUUUGUUGAUGUGAAUCAAUAUGGUCUCCAUCACCAUGGUGGGCGCCGCUGUGGGCGGUGAAAGUAGAGGUGCGGAUGAAGAGAAGGGGAUCCAGCCAUAACGCGACUCGUAAAAUUAGUAGGUGUCGCCGUCCUCGCCCACCACCAUGUGCAUUCCUUGUUGGGGAACGCGGUAAUUUCAAAAAAAAUCCUACGAUCAUGCAAGAUCUAUCUAGGUGAUGCAUAGCGACGAGAAGGGAGAGUGUGUCCACGUACCCUCGUAGACCGAAAGCCUAAGCAUUAAGUAACACGGUUGAUGUAGUCGAACGUCUUUGCGAUCCAACUGAUCAAGUGCCGAAUGCACAGAACCUCCGCGAUCUGCACACAUUCUGCUCGGUGACGUCCCUCGAACUCUAGAUCCAGCUAAGGCCGAGGGAGAGUUCCGUCAGCAUGAUGGCAUGGUGACGGUGAUGAUGAAGUUACCGGCGCAGGGCUUCGCCUAAGAACUAUGGCGCUAUGACCGAGGUGGAAAACUGUGGAGGGGGACACCGCACACGGCUAAAGAUCAACUUGUGUGUCCUUAGGGUUCUCCCCUCCCCCGUAUAUAAAGGAGGGAGGGAGGAGGCGGCCACCCUAGGGGGCGCGCCAAGCAUAGGGAGUCCUACUAGGACUCCCAAGUCCUAGUAGGAUUCCCUUUCCUAUUCGGAGUAGGCGAGAAGGAAAGAGAGGGACAGGGAGAAGGAAAGGGGGGAUGCGCCCCCACCCCUUGUCCAAUUCGGUUUGGGAAGGGGGGAGGCACGCGCCACCUCUUGGCCCUUCUCCCCUCUCUCCACUAAAGCCCAAUAAGGCCCAUUACUUCUCCCGGUGAAUUCCCGUAACUCCCCGGUACUCCAAAAAAUACUCGAAUCACUCGAAGCCUUUCCGAUGUCCAAAUAUAGCCUUCCAAUAUAUCGAUCUUUACUUAUCAACCAUUUCGAGACUCCUCGUCAUGUCCGUGAUCUCAUCCGGGACUCCGAAUAACCUUCGGUACAUCAAAUCACAUAAACUCAUAAUACCAAUCGUCAUCGGACGUUAAGCGUGCGGAUCCUAUGGGUUCGAGAACUAUGUAGACAUGAUCGAGACACAUCUCCGGUCAAUAACCAAUAGUGGAACUUGGAUGCUCAUAUUGGUUCCUACAUAUUCUACGAAGAUCUUUAUCGGUCGAACCGCAUAACAACAUACGUUGUUCCCUUUGUCAUCGGUAUGUUACUUGCCCGAGAUUCGAUCGUCGGUAUCAUCAUACCUAGUUCAAUCUCGUUACUGGCAAAUCUCUUUACUCAUUCUGUAAUGCAUCAUCCCUCAACUAACUCAUUAGUCACCUUGCUUGCAAGGCUUAUAGUGAUGUGCAUUACCGAGAGGGCCCAGAGAUACCUCUCCUAUACACGGAAUCACACAUCCUAAUUUCGAUCGAUGCCAACCCAACAAACACCUUCGAAGACACCUGUAGAGCAUCUUUAUAAUCACCCAGUUACGUUGUGACAUUUGAUAGCACACAAGGUGUUCCUCCGGUAUUCAGGAGUUGCAUAAUCUCAUAGUCUGAGGAACAUAUAUAAGUCAUGAAGAAAGCAGUAGCAAUGAAACUGUAACAAUCAUAAUUGUUGGAUUUAGGGUUCCGGCAGACCCGUGAGGUUCGAACACUGGGGUGCGCGUGGAGGUUUUGCCUUCUACCUACUUGUUCCUCGCUGAAUCACUAGGAUCUAAACUACGAGAAGCACAACACAAGAGACACAGGGUUUAUACUGGUUCAGGCCACCAUUGUGGUGUAAUACCCUACUCCAGUGUGUGGCAUGGUGGAUUGCCUCUUGGGCCGAUGAUGAACAAUACAAGGGAGAACAGCCUCGCGAGGGUCUGUUCUUGUGGUGGUGUUGUCCCUUUGGAGGGGUUGAUUCUAGAUGCCUAACUUAUCUCUAGAUUCCUAUCCCCCUAUCCAGAUGGUGCUACCCUGUGGGUGGUUAGUCCUAUUUAUAGCCAAAGGCCCUGGGCCUCUUCCCAAAUAUUGAGCGGGAAGGGCGCCAACAAUUGGCCAUUUUGAAGGGGAACAUCUAGUACACUUAUCUUGACUAAAGUUGGUCCUCGCCUGUCAAAGGCUCUGGUGGUGACGCCGACUUGGGCUCCACGGUGACCUCCAUCCUGCCGUUGGACUGGUCUUGGUCUUGUUGCACCGAAAUGGAUGCCUUUGCUUGAUGCUCUCGCCUGCGCUUGCUCCCCUUGCACCAAAGAGGAAAGAAGCACACUGCACGGGCUGGCGCCCGGCUGGCGCCCUUGGUCGUCAUGACUUGCGUCAUGGGCACCUCGCGAGGUACCCCGCCGUGAACUCUCCGCCUCCUCAUGAGCCAGCCUGAUGAGGCCGUGCCUGAGGAAGCUCCUUGUCAUCCGCCCCGCGAGGCUUGGCCCCUCGCGAGGGUCUUGAGCUUGUGUUGAUGAAGAUGGGCCGUGUUGGGCCCCCUUUGAGCCACGCCGUAGGCCGCAGGCAGGCAAGUCUAGGGACCCCCGUUCCCAGAACUCCGACAGUAGCCCCCGGGCCCAAGGCGCGCCCGGACUUGGCCGAGCAGAGAGGCGAAAGGGCAAGUGCGAAGCAUCGCGGGCCCUAACAGCAUGUGGCCUUGGGCGCCGCGUGGCGGUUGAUUGGAUGUGGGCGUCUCCGCAACCGCGCGAGUUGAUAAGGAGCGACAUCUGCCCUAAGCCUCCUUUGCUCUCUUUAGUUGCUGCUCAGAUCCCCUUUCUUGCGCCUCUCCUUCCUGCCUUCGAAAUCUCCAGAUCUACUCCACCCGCGUGCCCUAGCCAGACAUGGCGCCUCGCUAGGCCCCGGCCGGAGCUUGGUAUUCGUCCGCCUUGGACUCGCCGAACGUGUCGGAGGCGAGCCUUGCCCAGGUGCGCCAGAUGGCGGCGGCGCAGGGCGUCGACGGGGCAAAGGUGUUCAAGGCUGGCUCUGCCCUCCCUGAGGGCCAAGGGAGCACCUUCUAUCUGCUCUUCGUGAGCGCCAUUGUCGCCUGUCUGGUGCCUCCCUUCUCUGAGUUCUUCUUUUCUAUCCUCUGCCAUUAUAACCUUCAAGCUCUGCACCUCCACCCCAACUCUGUCCUCCUUCUGGCAAUCUUCGCCUACUAUUGCGAGGCUCGCGUGGGGGUGAAGCCCUCAGUGGCCCUGCUACGCCACUACUUCUCCCUCCGGCCCUCUCAUGGUUCCGUCUCUGCGUGUGCGAGCUUUGUCGCAUACGGCAGCUCCAUCGCCAUUUCGAACCCCGGGAAAAGGAUUGAGGGCUUAAGGAGCAAGUGGGUCUUGGUUGAUGCUGGGCGCGUCCACCCCCGGCUGGUCUUGCCCACGGGGCACCCCUCGAGCUCCAACGACUGGUCUCGAGUGGAGCUUGUGGAUCCCCGUGCAAGGCUGGUGUUGGAGAAGAUGGAUGCGGAUCUGAGGCCGGCCAGCAUGGCGGCGGCGAAGCUGACUGGCGCCUCACUGUUGAGGGAGUUCCUGGAGCAUCAGCUGGCUCCGCUUCGUCAGUACUCGCUUCCGAUGUGGAGGCCCCACCCGAGCCCCGCAGUCCUGGCCGAUGAGGAUCUGGCCGCGGUCCUCUAGUCUUUGGUCGGGGGCGACGUGGCAAGGUUGGAGGGCGCUCCGACGCCCCUGUUCCUUUGUGAGGACUGGGAGCAGGUUGUGGGGUACAUGCCCGUCUUCAACAGGGACGGGCCUGUGCCCGCGGAGGCUCCUGAGGACCUGGUGGACGUAUCCUCCGGCGACUCCAGCGAAGAGAGGGAGGAAGGGGAGCGGGAAAAGGGGGCUGACUCCGAGGCAGAGUCAAGGGCUCCACCUCUUCGGCGCAAGUCCCGCACUCUCCGCCUCUCUCUGAGUGACGACGACAAGGGUGAUGACGAGCAGGGCGGCGGAGCCUGCCCCUGGUCCCGAAGAAGGACCGGACUGGGCUGAUCCCCCGCGGGUCCGCCCCAGCCCCGAGGCGAUCCGCAGGCGCCCCAAAUGCACCCACGCUCCUAGAGGCUGAUCCUUGCAACCGGCUCUCGGGCUUCAAGUACGGCCGGAGGCUACUCGAGCUCGCGGGCGACGACCUGUAAGUGCUUGAUCCUUGUCUUGUUUCUUGUUUCGUCGUUGAGGCCUGACGUUCAUAUCUCCCUGCUAGGCUGGCGCCCACGGCAAAGAAGCCGAAGGGGGCUCCUGAGACUCCGUCUGUGGCAGCGCCUCUGCUCGCGAAAGAAGAUGGACAUGACGCACGGGCCUCUCCAGCCCGGGCGUCCUUGCGAGGCCCUGCCAAGCCGGCUGGGGCGAGCUCGGCUCCUAUGGCCCAGGCGACUCCCGAGGCGCCCCCGCUUGACGCCGCCACCACAGCUGCUGGGGCGCAGCAGGCUCCGCCUCAGGACACCGUGGUCACGCUGCCGUCUUCUCCUCCUACCCCGCCGACUGCUGCUUCCCCGUAUCCUCCUACUGUCCUGGAUCGUGCUGCUGCCGAACUGGACCGUCUGUGGCGGGAUCUUUUGAGCGCCGACCCUCGUUUGGUGGCCGGGUGCUUGGAGCUAGCCUCUGGUUGGAUUCACUCCGAUGCUUCGAUUCGGGCGGCGCUGGUCCAGGCCUCGACGGCCUGCGACAAGGAGAAGCAGGCCGUCCUUGGGGCGAAGGCUGCCCGCGACGCCGCCUUGGGGGAGGCGGCUAAUGCCCGAGGUCGUUGCAAGGUGCUGGAGCGCGAGCUGAAGGGCCUGCAGGACCGGCUCGCCGAGGAGACUCGCCUUCGCCAAGAGCAGGAGGACGGCAUGAAGGCUCGCCAGGCGGCCGUCAAGGACUAGGACGCCAAGCUCAAGAAGCGCCGUGACCGCCUAGGCGCGCUGGAGCAAGAGCUGGAGGCGAGGAAGGUUGAGUUGGACGACAAGGCACGGGUUCUUGCCGAGGAUCGUGUGGCCUUUGCGGAGAUGGAGGAGAAGGCCCACACUUCACUUAAGACGCUUUAUGAGAGCGGCCUGGAGAGCCCGCUGGCCGGCGAGGAGGACAGCCGCGCCAAGCUGCUUCCUUUCCUGGUUCGUGCUCUUGAAGAUGUCGCGCUUGGCCUUGGCCCUACGGCUGAGGCCGAGGCAUGCGUCUUGUCUUCUGCGGCGCUGACGCGGGUCUUCACCCACAUCUAUCUUCGCGACCCCAACAUCGACCUCGAUAGCCUACUGGAGCCAGCGAGCAGCGAGCAUGCCGCUUCCGCUGCUGAGGCCAUGAAGGGUCGUGCGGAGGCUCUGCUGGGGAAAUUCCGGGCCUUCAGCACCAGGCCGAAGCGGAGCGCUGCCAGCCCGGCAGCUCCACAAGGCGAACCCGCUCCGCGCAACUCCACGGCCGGCAAGUGACUCCGUUGUGGCUCCCGCCCUGCUUUCAGUUUCUACACAUGUAUUAGGCCUCAGGGAGGCGUUAAAACUUGCAUUUGGUGCUGUGAUAACAGUAUGGACUGUAAUAUUUGCUUUUGAAGUCCUUGAAAUUUGCGCUAUUUCCUUCCAAGUUGCUUGUGUCCUACGCCGGCAGAGCCCAGCCCCGCGCAUACCUCAGCCGCCGUUAGCCCCGACCGGAAACCAGGACGGGUCCAAGGAGUGAGGGGCUACGUGACAAGUUAGGCUCCUGAGUCGCGAUGCUCAGGAGUCCCCCUUGGCGCUCGAACAGCAAGUAGGGAGGUGAAAUGUGGGGGUGGAUCUACCAUUCUACGUCUGCAGAGCCCGGCCCCGCGCAUACCUCAACCGCCGUUAGCCCCGACAAGAAACCAGGACGGGACCAAGGAGUGAGGGGCUACAUGACCAGUUAGGCUCCUGAGUCGCGAUGCUCAGGAGUCCCCCUUGACGCUCAAACGGCCUUCAUACCUUGGCUCCACUCGAGGAGGGACGUGCGAUGAACCAGGCCCGGGGGGGCUGGCUGGGUGGCGUGCAUCUGCGCAUGACCCAGGCGUAGCCCCCGUGCCCAGCCCCCUCGCGUGGCACUCCCGAGGGGAGGCGUUGCGAUGAGGCUAGACACUGAGCUCUGGGCUCCCUGAGGUUGAUGCGGCCCGGGGGCCACCCUCAGUUGUUUAUCACCAGCGCGGAGCAUAGCGCUUCCGUAUGUGUACGGGCAUAGCCGCUCCUCGGCAGUGUCGUCAGCCAGCGCGGAGCAUGGUGCUUCCACUAGUGCGUGGGACGGGGCUCCCCUUCGGGAGGAGCCCCCGGGGUGUGUAUAGCCCCGCCCUGACACGUGGCUGGCACGGUAGGGCUUGACGAGGUGUAUCUGGGCACCCGUGAGCUAGCACGGGACUCACGGGGCCCUACCUCAAGGCGGGUUGCGCCUGGCUCUGGGCCUUAUCUUGGAGUGUGUUCCUGCAAAUUUCGCUAGAUGCCGAUGCUCUACGUCCUCGGGUCCUAGCUCUCGGGUUGGUCUCAGCCGUCGCUGGUAUGCCAGGGCACGAUGCGGUGGGCAGACCAGAGGGUGAGGGCGGGAGAGCCGGUAGGAGCCCUGAGUCGCGAUGCUCAGGCACCCCCCUUUAACGCGCAAGCUGGAUUAGAUGUCGAAACUCUACAUCCUCGGGUCCCGGCUCUCGGACUGGUGUCAGCCGUCGCUGGUAUGCCGAGGCGCGAUGUCGUGGGCAGACCAGAGGGUGAGGGCUGGAGAGCCGGUAGGAGCCCUAAGUCGCGAUGCUCAGGCACCCCCCCUUUAACGCGCAAGCUGGGUUAGAUGUCGAAACUCUACGUCCUCGGGUCCCGGCUCUCGGGCUGGUCUCAGCCGUCGCUGGUAUGCUGGGGCGCGAUGCCGUGGGCAGACCAGAGGGUGAGGGCCUGAGAGCCGGUAGGAGCCCUGAGUCGCGAUGCUCAGGCACACCCCCUUUAACGCGCAAGCUUGCGACAUCCAAGAAGAAAAAGGUACCAUGAACAGGCACCAAACAACAAGCAUGACGGGUCUAAAACAUGGCCCUAAGAUAAAUGCAAGAGGGGUACAUGCCACUGGGUCUGACCCGAGCGGCUUGGGGAUAAUGCAGCCCGAGGGGCGCCCCCAGCAGAGUAAGCUAAGAACAUGAAAUAAAAGAGAUACACGCCACAUGGACGGACCCACGCGGCCUGGGAAUAAUGCAGCCCUGAGGGCGCUCCCAGCUGGAAAUGAAACUAGAAAGAUGUCACCUGAUGACGCUGAAGACGAAGGGGUGUUGAUGCAGCAGACUCGGUGGGCUGCGGGAGCAAAUCCUCACGAGCCCCCAGGCCCUGGGGCCUCGGGAGGCUCCGGAGGCGCUGGUGGCUCCUUGCGGACCGUCUCCAUCUCUACCAGGGCUGCGGAAUGCCUGACCUCUUGAGCCUCCAGGAUGGCCCUCAUGAUGCGCUGGUACGCAGCAGCCGCGUUCGGCGAGCCGUAAGGCAUGCGAACAUAGCUGUGAGGUGGACCCUCGUAGCGUCCCACUCGUGAAGGCCAGAGGCGCUUCUGAGACGGCUUGGUUGAGCCCUGGUAUGUCGAUCCAGACGCGCAGCCCACCAUCCUCGCCUGGAUGGGGGGCCACAGCGGGUAAGCGGUGGCUGCCUCUCAUGACCCUUGACUCCUGUAGCUCCUGAAUGGCCUUGCUGACGAACUCCUGAGGGUUUGGCCCUCCUUGCCUUGCUCCUUCUUGAUGGAAACGUGCUUCGAAACACGCCUCCACGUGGUGCCCAAGCGACUCCCUCAUGACCUUGGCGAGGUCGACGACCCUCCAGGGGAGAGCCCCCGAGCCCUGCCUGAGGAGGGCGUCGGGCGCGCUUCCCUAUGCGAUGGAAGGAGGUUCCCCCUGAGCAGGCGCGGGUCCUGAGGGACCUGCCUCCUGAGGGGCCAGGCCGGUCGAUGUCUUCUUCUUCUUGGGGGCGGCCUCAGGAAGCCUCCUGCUUCCGCGAUCCGGGUCUUCCAGUGAUGCGGCCUGAAAGGCUCUCUCCAGGGAGCAAACUGCGUCUCUCUCUUCGCAGGGCACCGUGAUGACUCCGCCACUUCCUGGCAUCUUGAGGACGUUGUAGCCGUGGUGGGUUACGGCCAUGAACUUGGCCAGCGCUGGGUACCCGAGGAUGGCGUUGUACGGCAGGCGAAUGUGGGCGACGUCAAAGUCGAUGAGCUCGGUGCGGUAGUUGUCGCGUGCCCCGAAGGUGACAGGGAGGCGGACCUGCCCAAUCGGGACCGUGGAGCCGUCGGUGACUCCAUAGAAAGGCUUGGUUGGCUAAAGCUGACUGUAGGGUACUUGGAGAUUGUUGAAUGUUUCCACGGAUAGGACGUUGAGCCCUGCCCCGCCAUCGAUGAGGGUCCUGGUGACUAGCACGUUGCUGAUGAUUGGGGAACAAAGCAUCGGGAGGACUCCAGCUGUGGCCGCGCACUUGAGCUGAUCCGCUGAGCUGAACGUGAUGGCACACGCCAACCACCUGAGAGGGCGCGUGGCCUCGAGCUUGGGGAGGACUACAUUCACUUCGCGGGCGAACUGCUUGAAGAUGCGCUGAGAGGCUGGGGCUUGAGCUCCGCCUAGGAUGCAGGCGAUCACACGUGGUUCCUGGAAGCCCCCAGCCCCUUCGUCCUGAUGACGUUCCUCAUUUCUCCUUGGCUGCGGCGGUAGCGGGGGAGGCCUGCGUGACCUUGCGGGCGAUCCUCGCGAGGCUGAUCUCUCCAGCCUCCCUCGCGAGGCGGGUCCUGCCAGCGAUCCUCGCGAGGUUGGUCGCGCCACCCUUGACGUGGGCCGCGGUCUUCCCAGCACCCUGCGUUCCUUCCUCCUCCUCAUCUGUAGCCCCGGUCGCUGCGGUCGGGACGCCGGCCAGUCCGUCCUUCACGCACAGCCCGGAGCUCUUGGCAUUCAUUGGUGUUAUGGGUGUGGAGGUCGUGGUACACGCAGUACCGACUAUCCUUGGAGGAUUCGGGCUGAUCUCUGCCCCGCUUGGUGUCUGGUUCUGCCGCGAGCACGGCAGCCCCUUUGCGCUUCACGUCCUUGGCCUUGGGCUUCUUCUCUUCAGGGUCUGCGGCAGGCAACUCGAGGAGGGAGAGACACCCUUCCUCAGCCCUGGCGCACUUGGUCGCCAGGUUGAACAGCUCCAAGGAAGUGCACAGAUCUUCAUGCAUUGCGAGCUCCUCCUUCAUUUUGACGUCACGCAUGCCGUCAGAGAAGGCUGAGAUGAUGGCCUCCUCGGUCACCUUGGGAAUCUUGAGGCGCGCGUUGUUGAAGCGCUGGAUGUACUUCUGCAGGGUUUCCCCUGGUUGCUGCUUGAUGCGGCACAUGUCACUCACGGUGGGUGGCUGGUCGCGGGUACCCUGGAAGUUGGCGAUGAAGCGGGUGCGCAUCUCGUCCCAGGAGGAGAUCAUGCCUGGGGCCAGGUUCAGAAGCCAGGUGCGGGCCCCGUCCUUGAGAUCCAUGGGAAACCAGUUCGCCAUGACCUUCUCGUCUCCGUUGGCAGCCUCGAUGCCCAGCUCAUAGAGCUGGAGGAACUCUGCAGGGUCAGCCGUGUCGUCGUAGCGAGGAGGCAGGUCUGGCUUGAACUUGUCGGGCCACGCGACGGUACGUAGCUCGGAGGUGAAGGCGCGGCAGCCCGCUGUGGCCAUAGGAGGCCUUGGAGGACGAAGGGCUCGGUCCUGCGGGUCCCCGUGCGCCGCAGCACAGGGUCUUGAUGUGCUGGAGCAGGAGCGUGGUCGGGACGAGCCGGAGCAGGGAGCGCUCGGGCAGCUUCUCGAGGGCGAGGGACCUCUUGGCAGCUCUGGUCCUGCCGCGCUGGUUCCUGACGGGGCGGGUUCCGCCCAGGGGCCGCGCGCCUUGGAGCCAGGGCGCCUUCUUGAGGGGGAGGCGGCUGAGGCGCCCUUGGAUCUUCAUUGCCCGCGCAUGGCGGGGCGCGGUGCAGCGAGAAAGAUGGCACGGGGGAGCCCCCAGCGGCGCAGACGAGUUCGGCGACUCGGUCGAGCCAUUCUUCGUAGACGUCGUUGACUGGGCGGUAGCGCAGGAGCUCGUUUGCCGCGAUGAGCGCAGCUCGAGCCUCCAUGGCCUCGCGGGGCGCGCGGGACGAAGAACCAGCGGGGGUGAGCGAGGGCGUAGAGGUGCGGCCUUCUCGCCUCAUGGACGGGUGCUGGGGCGAUGCUUGCUGCUUGUUCCCCGCCGGGCCGGUGGUGGCGUUGACGGUAGGCGACGGGGAACGACGGGGGCGCCCGCCGAUGGGAGCCGUCUGGGCGACACGAGAAGCGAGGGUGGCUCGGCGCUAGGCGCGAACCCGGCGUGCGUCAGACAUGGACGCGACGGUCGGAAAAGAACAGGGUGACGGAAGACAAAUUCCGGAGCACCCCUACCUGGCGCGCCAAAUGUCAGAUUUAGGGUUCCGGCAGACCCUUGAGGUUUGAACACUGGGGUGCGCGCGGAGGUUUCGCCUUCUACCUACCUGUUCCUCGCCGAAUCGCUAGGAUCUAAACUACGAGAAGAACAACACAAGAGACACAGGGUUUAUACUGGUUCAGGCCACCAUUGUGGUGUAAUACCCUACUCCAGUGUGUGGCGUGGUGGAUUGCCUCUUGGGCUGAUGAUGAACAAUACAAGGGAGAACAGCCUCGCGAGGGUCUGUUCUUGUGGUGGUGUUGUCCCUUUGGAGGGGUUGAUUCUAGAUGCCUAUCUUAUCUCCAGAUUCCUAUCCAGAUCCCUAUCCAGAUGGCGCUACCCUAUGGGUGGCUAGUCCUAUUUAUAGGCAAAGGCCCUGGGCCUCUUCCCAAAUAUUGAGCAGGAAGGACGCCAACAAUUGGCCAUUUUGAAGGGGAACAUCUAGUACACAUAUCCUGACUAAAGUUGGUCCUCGCCUAUCAAAGGCUCUGGUGGUGACGCUGACUUGGGCUCCACGGUAACCUCCAUCAUGCCGUUGGACUAGUCUUGGUCUUGUUGCACCGAAAUGGAUGCCUUUGCUUGAUGCUCUCGCCUGCGCUUGCUCCCCUUGCACCAAAGAGGAAAGAAGGACACUGCGCGGGCUGGCGCCCGGCUGGCGCCCUUGGUCGUCAUGGCUUGCGUCAUGGGCACCUCGCGAGGUACCCCACCUUGAACUCUCUGCCUCCUUGUGAGCCAGCCUGAUGAGGCCGUGCCUGAGGAAGCUCCUUGUCGUCCACCCCGUGAGGCUUGGCCCCUCGCGAGGGUCUUGAGCUUGUGUUGAUGAAGAUGGGUCGUGCUGGGCCCCCUUUGAACCACGCCGCAGGCCGCAGGUAGGCAAGUCUGGGGACCCCCGUUCCCAGAACACCGACAAUAAUGCUAAGCUAACGAAUGGGUCUUGUCCAUCACAUCAUUCUUCUAAUGAUGUGAUCUCAUUCAUUAAAUGACAACACAUGUCUAUGGUUAGGAAACAUAACUAUCUUUGAUAAACGAGCUAGUCAAGUAGAGGCAUACUAGGGACACUAUGUUUUUUCUAUGUAUUCGCACAUGUACUAAGUUUCCGGUUAAUACAAUUAUAGCAUGAAUAAUAAACAUUUAUCAUGAUAUAAGGAAAUAAAUAAUAAUUGUAUUGUUGCCUCUAUGGCAUAUUUUCUUCAGUCUCCCACCUGCACUAGAGUCAAUAAUCUAGUUCACAACGCCAUGUGAUUUAACAUCAAUAGUUCACAUCUAUAUGUGAUUAACACCCAUAGUUCACAUCGCCAUGUGACCAACAACUAAAGGGUUUAGUAGAGUCAAUAAUCUAGUUCACAUUGCUAUGUGAUUAACACCCAAAGAGUACUAAGGUGUGAUCAUGUUUUGCUUAUGAGAGAAGUUUAGUCAACGGGUCUGUCACAUUCAGAGUUGUAUGUAUUCUGCAAAUAUUCUAUGUCUACAAUGCUCUGCAUAGAGCUACUCUAGCUAAUUGCUCCCACUUUCAAUAUGUAUCUAGAUUGAGACUUAGUGUCAUCUGGAUCGGUGUAAAAGCUUGCAUCGACGUAACUCUUUAUGACAAACUCUUUAUCACCCCCAUAACCGAGAAACAUUUCCUUAGUCCUCACUAAGGAUAAUUUUGACUGUUGUCCAGUGAUCUACUCUUAGAUCACUAUUGUACCCCCUUGCCAAACUCAUGGCAAGGUACACAAUAGGUCUGGUUCACAGCAUAGCAUACUUUAUAGAACCUAUGACUGAGGCAUAGGGAAUGACUUUCAUUCUCUUUCUAUCUUCUGCCAUGGUCGGGCUUUGAGUCUUACUCAACUUUACACCUUGUAAUAUAGGCAAGAACUUCUUCUUUGACUGAUCCAUUUUGAACUUUUUCAAAAACUUGUCAAGGUAUGUAUUCAUUGAAAAAUCUUAUCAAGCAUCUUGAUCUAUCUCUAUAGAUCUUGAGGCCCAAUAUAUAAGCAACUUCACCGAGGUGUUUCUUUGAAAAACUCCUUUCAAACUCUCCUUUAUGCUUUCCAGAAAAUUCUACAUCAUUGCCGAUCAACAAUAUAUCAUUUACAUAUACUUAUCAGAAAGGUUGUAGUGCUCCCACUCACUUUCUUGUAAAUACAGGCUUCACCGCAAGUCUGUACAAAACUAUAUGCUUUGAUCAACUCAUCGAACCAUAUAUUCCAACUCCAAGAUGCUUGCACCAGUCCACAGAUGGAUCACUGGAACUUGCACACCUUGUUAGUACCUUUAGGAUCGACAACACCUUCUGGUUGCAUCAUAUACAAUUCUUCUUUAAGAAAUAUCCAUUUAGGGAAUGCAGUUUUGACAUCCAUUUCCUAGAUUUCAUAAUAUAUGGCAACUGCUAACAUGAUUUGGACGGAUUUAAGCAUCGCUACAGUUGAGAAAAUCUCAUUGUAGUCAACACCUUGAACUUGUCGAAAAACCUUUUGCGACAACUCGAGCUUUGUAGAUAGUAUCACAACUAUUAGCGUCCGUCUUCCUCUUGAAGAUCCAUUUAUUCUUAAUGGCUUGCCGAUCAUCGGGCAAGUCCACCAAAGUCCACACUUUGUCCUCAUACAUGGAUCCCAUCUCAGAUUUCAUGGCCUCAAGCCAUUUCGCGGAAUCUGGGCUCAUCAUCGCUUCCUCAUAGUUCAUAGGUUCAUCAUGGUAUAGUAACAUGACUUCCAGAAUAGGAUUACCGUACCACUCUGGUGCGGAUCAUACUCUGGUUGACCUACGAGGUUCGGUAGUAACUUGAUCUGAAGUUUCAUGAUCAUCAUCAUUAACUUCCUCACUAAUUGGUGUAGGCAUCACUGGAACUAAUUUCUAUGAUGAACUACUCUCCAACUCGAGAGAAGGUACAACUACCUCAUCAAGUUCUACUUUCCUCCCGCUCACUUCUUUCGAGAGAAACUCCUUCUCUAGAAAGUAUCCAUUCUAAGCAACAAAUAUCUUGCUUUCGGAUCUGUGAUAGAAGGUGUACCCAACAGUUUCUUUUGGGUAUGCUAUGAAGACGCACUUCUACGAUUUGGGUUUGAGCUUAUCAAGUUGAAUUUUUUUCACAUAAGCACCUCAGCCCCAAACUUUAAGAAACGACAACUUUGGUUUCUUGCCAAACCACAGUUCAUAAGGCGUCGUCUCAACGAAUUUCGACGGUGCUGAGGGAGUCCUGGAUUAGGGGGACCUCGGACAGCUGGACUAUAUGCUUAUGCCAGACUGUUGGACUAUGAAGAUACAAGAUUGAAGACUUCGUCCCGUGUCCGGGUGGGACUCUCCUUUGCGUGGAAGGCAAGCUUGGCAAUUUGGAUAUGUAGAUUUCCUUCUUUGUAACCGACUCUGUUGUAACCCUAGCCCCCUCCGGUGUCUAUAUAAACCGGAGGGUUUAGUCCGUAGGACAAGAACAAUCAUAACCAUAGGCUAGCUUCUAGGGUUUAGCCUCUACGAUCUCGUGGUAGAUCUACUCUUGUAAUACUCAUAUCAUCAAGAUCAAUGAAGCAGGAAGUAGGGUAUUACCUCCAUAGAGAGGGCCUGAACCUGGGUAAACAUUGUGUCCCCCGCCUCCUGUUACCAUUAGCCUUAGACGCACAGUUCGGGACCCCCUACCCAAGAUCCUCCGGUUUUGACACCGACAUUGGUGCUUUCAUUGAGAGUUCCACGGUGUCGUCACAGUAAGGCUUGAUGGAUCCUUAAAUCAUCUACAAUGAUGUGAUCCAGGGUGAGGUUUUCCUCCUCAGACAGAUCUUAGUAUUCGGCGGCUUCGCACUACGGGCCAACUCACUUGGCCAUCUGGAGCAGAUCGAUAGCUACGCCCCUGGCCAUCAGGUCAGGUUUGGAAGCAUGAACUACACUGCCGACAUCCGUGGAGACUUGAUCUUCGACGGAUUCGAGCCCAUGACAGGUGCGCCCAAUAGUCGCGAUGAGCAUGACUUAGAUCUAUCAUCGGACGUUGUUCAGGAGAUCACACAUGCAGGCGCCCGGCCUUAAAUCCGGAGCAGAUCAUGCCAUCCGGGGACGGGUGGAUGGACCCUGCCACGCAGGCCGCACACUCAGCGGCAAUUGAGCUGAACACAGAUCUCACAUCCAAGGAGGACUGUGUCUUCGGACCCUCGGACUCGUCUCCGGACAAGGGCUCCGAACCGUGUGCAUCCGUGCCCACCAAACCUGACUGGGCACCGAUCAUGGAGUUUAGCUCCGCAGAUAUCUUUCAGCACUCGCCCUUAGGCGAUGUGCUAAACUCGUUAAAAUCUCUCUCCCUAUCAGGAGACUCUUGGCCGAACUAUGUCCGGCUUGAGUGGGAAGCGGACAACGAAGAAAUUCGUUACCCACCCAUCACCCACUUGAUAGCCACUGUCGACGACUUAACCGACAUGCUUGAUUUCGACUCCGAAGAUAUCAACAGUACAGACGACGACGCCGGAGAAGAACAGGAACCACCGCCCACAGGGUGCUGGACAGCCACCUCAUCAUACGAUAUAUAUAUGGUGGACACACCCAAAGAAAGCAACGGCGAUGAGGCAACGGAGGAUAAUCCCCUUGAGAAACAAUCUAAGCGCCGGCGUCAGCGGCACCGCUCUAAGACCCACCAUAAAAAAAA
rnacentral:lncRNA from 1 species